CCGCUCACCUCAUGCGAUGGAAAGUGAGUUAGAGCGAUGAGAUAGCAAGCAUUACUGAUGCCAGUUUGCAGAGGAAUUGUCCAGGAGCUGGAGCCGGAGGAGAAACUGGAAGAAGUGAACCUGAACAGCCUGGAUAUCCUUGUAAGCAGAGAUGAAGAGUCCUCAGCUUUCUGCCUUCUCCAUGACUGGCUUACCACGGAGAAAGAAGUGAAGGGUAAGAGCCCACCCCAAUUGUGAGAUGGAAGGCGCCCAAGAGCCGUGAGACAGUGAGCGUUGUUGAUUCCAGGCUAUGCAG